GUGGGGAAUUUUCCGCAAUGGGCGAAAGCCUGACGGAGUGACGCCGCGUGGGGGACGAAGGCCUUCGGGUCGUAAACCCCUGUCAGAGGGAAAGAAGGGUCGCGCGGUGAAUAGUCGCGUGAUUUGACGGUACCUUCAGAGGAAGCCCCGGCCAACUCUGUGCCAGCAGCCGCGGUAAGACAGAGGGGGCAAGCGUUGCUCGGAAUCACUGGGCGUAAAGGGCGCGUAGGCGGGAUGGCAAGUCGGUCGUGAAAUCCCUCGGCUCAACCGAGGAGCGUCGGCCGAUACUGCCGUUCUUGAGGGAUGCAGAGGAGACUGGAAUUCCCGGUGUAGCGGUGAAAUGUGUAGAGAUCGGGAGGAACACCGGUGGCGAAGGCGGGUCUCUGGGCAUCUCCUGACGCUGAGGCGCGAAAGCGUGGGGAGCAAACGGGAUUAGAUACCCCGGUAGUCC
rnacentral:rRNA from 1 species